rnacentral:rRNA from 1 species
AGAGCGAACGCUGGCGGCAGGCCUAACACAUGCAAGUCGAGCGCCCGUAGCAAUACGGGAGCGGCAGACGGGAGAGUAACACGUGGGAACGCGCCCUUCGGUUCGGAAUAACUCAGGGAAACUUGAGCUAAUACCGGAUACGCCCUUACGGGGAAAGAUUUAUUGCCGAAGGAACGGCCCGCGUCCGAUUAGCUUGUUGGUGAGGUAAUGGCUCACCAAGGCGACGAUCGGUAGCUGGUCUGAGAGGAUGACCAGCCUCACUGGGACUGAGACACGGCCCAGACUCCUACGGGAGGCAGCAGUGGGGAAUAUUGGACAAUGGGCGCAAGCCUGAUCCAGCCAUGCCGCGUGGAUGAUGAAGGCCCUAGGGUUGUAAAGUCCUUUUAACGGGGAAGAUAAUGACGGUACCCGUAGAAUAAGCCCCGGCUAACUUCGUGCCAGCAGCCGC